rnacentral:rRNA from 1 species
CCUACGGGGGGCAGCAGUGAGGAAUAUUGGUCAAUGGACGCAAGUCUGAACCAGCCAAGCCGCGUGAAGGAAGAAGGCUCUAAGAGUUGUAAACUGCUUUUGUACGAGGGUAAACGCAGAUACGCGUAUCUGACUGAAAGUAUCGUACGAAUAAGGAUCGGCUAACUCCGUGCCAGCAGCCGCGGUAAUACGGAGGAUUCAAGCGUUAUCCGGAUUUAUUGGGUUUAAAGGGUGCGUAGGCGGUCGGAUAAGUUAGAGGUGAAAUCCCGAGGCUCAACUCCGGAAUUGCCUCUGAUACUGUUCGGCUAGAGAGUAGUUGCGGUAGGCGGAAUGUAUGGUGUAGCGGUGAAAUGCUUAGAGAUCGUACAGAACACCGAUUGCGAAGGCAGCUUACCAGGCUACUUCUGACGUUGAGGCACGAAAGCGUGGGGAGCGAACAGGAUUAGAUACCCCAGUAGUC